rnacentral:lncRNA from 1 species
UUUGUCUUAUAAGCUUGUAUAUAGAGAUCAAGCCAUCGAGCUUAGAAUGCAAUUAGAUUUUACUAAUAUAUAAAUACAUAUGUAUUUUUAUCUGCUCUACUGACUACCUCUUUAGACUCUUUACUGACUGGGACCUUGGAGCUGCCUGAUGCCAUGUGAGAUGCCAUUCUGUAUUUCAUCAGCUGUCAUUCUAGAGAGAUCUGCUAAGGAAAAAGGGUUGAUCCUCCUGUCACCCUGAAGAUGGAUCCAGCAGAUCCAUACAGACUGUCAGCCAUGGGGUGACAAAGGUAGGAUCUCUGAAGCAAGGACCCAACCACUCAAAUCAUCUUCACCUUAACCAGGAAACUGCUUUUCUCCCGGCAGUGGUGGUCCAUAUGAGAAAGCACCAUGAACUGCUUAUUGUUAAAUCUUCCCUGCCAUGCAGGAUUCAGCACAAUGGGCUUCUGUCUCAGGACUGCAUUCCUGGAUCUAUGCAGAAGGAAAGAAAAAUAGGAUUUAGAGAAGGGUUGUAGACCCUUGAAAAUGAAAGUGGAGCAAUAAGUGAGUCAACAGAAGACAAUAUCAAGAAAUCAUUUUAAAAAUGAUGAGAAACCUGUUUGGAAUUCUCAUAUAUACAGCUGAUUUCUGAAUGAAAUUAAAC